CUUCACGGAGCCCAGCCGCAGCGGUGCGGCGUCCGCGGGCCGCUGGCCGUAGGUGGCCAGCAGCGCCCCGGCCUC
rnacentral:antisense_RNA from 1 species